GGUUAAGUGACUAAGCGUACACGGUGGAUGCCUUGGCAGUCAGAGGCGAUGAAAGACGUAGUAACUUGCGAUAAGCCCAGAUUAGGUAGUAACAACCAUUUGAGUCUGGGAUUUCUGAAUGGGGAAACCCACGUGCAUAAGCACGUAUCCUUACCUGAAUACAUAGGGUAAGGAGGCGAACCGGGGGAACUGAAACAUCUAAGUACCCCGAGGAAAAGAAAUCAACCGAGAUUCCGAAAGUAGCGGCGAGCGAAAUUGGACUAGCCCUUAAGCUUUACACACGUUAGACGAACGGUCUGGAAAGUCCGACGAUACAGGGUGAUAGUCCCGUAGUUGACGACGUGUGUUCAGUGAAAUCGAGUAGGGCGGGACACGUGAUAUCCUGUCUGAAUAUGGGGGGACCAUCCUCCAAGGCUAAAUACUACUGACUGACCGAUAGUGAACCAGUACCGUGAGGGAAAGGCGAAAAGAACCCCUGUGAGGGGAGUGAAAUAGAACCUGAAACCGUGUACGUACAAGCAGUAGGAGCAGGCUUUGUCCUGUGACUGCGUACCUUUUGUAUAAUGGGUCAGCGACUUAUAUUCAGUGGCAAGGUUAACCAUCUAGGGGAGCCGUAGGGAAACCGAGUCUUAACUGGGCGUUCAGUCUCUGGAUAUAGACCCGAAACCAGGUGAUCUAGCCAUGGGCAGGUUGAAGGUUGAGUAACAUCAACUGGAGGACCGAACCGACUAAUGUUGAAAAAUUAGCGGAUGACUUGUGGCUAGGGGUGAAAGGCCAAUCAAACCUGGAGAUAGCUGGUUCUCCCCGAAAGCUAUUUAGGUAGCGCCUCGGACGAAUACUACUGGGGGUAGAGCACUGUUAAGGCUAGGGGGUCAUCCCGACUUACCAACCCUUUGCAAACUCCGAAUACCAGUAAGUACUAUCCGGGAGACACACGGCGGGUGCUAACGUCCGUCGUGGAGAGGGAAACAACCCAGACCGCCAGCUAAGGUCCCAAAUUACUACUAAGUGGGAAACGAUGUGGGAAGGCUCAGACAGCCAGGAUGUUGGCUUAGAAGCAGCCAUCAUUUAAAGAAAGCGUAAUAGCUCACUGGUCGAGUCGGCCUGCGCGGAAGAUGUAACGGGGCUAAGUAGUAAACCGAAGCUGCGGCAAUGUGCUUUUGCACAUUGGGUAGGGGAGCGUUCUGUAAGCGGUUGAAGGUGUGUGGUAACGCAUGCUGGACGUAUCAGAAGUGCGAAUGCUGACAUGAGUAACGAUAAAGGGGGUGAAAAACCUCCUCGCCGGAAGACCAAGGGUUCCUGUCCAACGUUAAUCGGGGCAGGGUAAGUCGACCCCUAAGGCGAGGCCGAAAGGCGUAGUCGAUGGGAAACGGGUUAAUAUUCCCGUACUUCUUACAAUUGCGAUGGGGGGACGGAGAAGGCUAGGUGGGCCUGGCGACGGUUGUCCAGGUUCAAGUGCGUAGGCUUAAGAGUUAGGUAAAUCCGGCUCUUUUUAAGGCUGAGACACGACGUCGAGCCACUACGGUGGUGAAGUCAUUGAUGCCAUGCUUCCAGGAAAAGCCUCUAAGCUUCAGAUUGUAAGGAAUCGUACCCCAAACCGACACAGGUGGUCGGGUAGAGAAUACCAAGGCGCUUGAGAGAACUCGGGUGAAGGAACUAGGCAAAAUGGUACCGUAACUUCGGGAGAAGGUACGCUCUUGAUGGUGAAGUCCCUCGCGGAUGGAGCUGACGAGAGUCGCAGAUACCAGGUGGCUGCAACUGUUUAUUAAAAACACAGCACUGUGCAAAAUCGUAAGAUGACGUAUACGGUGUGACGCCUGCCCGGUGCCGGAAGGUUAAUUGAUGGGGUUAGACUUCGGUCGAAGCUCUUGAUCGAAGCCCCGGUAAACGGCGGCCGUAACUAUAACGGUCCUAAGGUAGCGAAAUUCCUUGUCGGGUAAGUUCCGACCUGCACGAAUGGCGUAAUGAUGGCCACGCUGUCUCCACCCGAGACUCAGUGAAAUUGAAAUCGCUGUGAAGAUGCAGUGUACCCGCGGCUAGACGGAAAGACCCCGUGAACCUUUACUACAGCUUGGCACUGAACAUUGACCCUACAUGUGUAGGAUAGGUGGGAGGCUUUGAAGCACGUACGCCAGUAUGUGUGGAGCCGUCCUUGAAAUACCACCCUUGUAGUGUUGAUGUUCUAACGUCGACCCCUUAUCGGGGUUGCGGACAGUGCCUGGUGGGUAGUUUGACUGGGGCGGUCUCCUCCCAAAGAGUAACGGAGGAGCACGAAGGUGGGCUAAUCACGGUUGGACAUCGUGAGGUUAGUGCAAUGGCAUAAGCCCGCUUGACUGCGAGAAUGACAAUUCGAGCAGGUGCGAAAGCAGGUCAUAGUGAUCCGGUGGUUCUGAAUGGAAGGGCCAUCGCUCAACGGAUAAAAGGUACUCCGGGGAUAACAGGCUGAUACCGCCCAAGAGUUCAUAUCGACGGCGGUGUUUGGCACCUCGAUGUCGGCUCAUCACAUCCUGGGGCUGAAGUCGGUCCCAAGGGUAUGGCUGUUCGCCAUUUAAAGUGGUACGCGAGCUGGGUUUAGAACGUCGUGAGACAGUUCGGUCCCUAUCUGCCGUGGGCGUUGGAAGAUUGAAGGGGGCUGCUCCUAGUACGAGAGGACCGGAGUGGACGAACCUCUGGUGUUCGGGUUGUGUCGCCAGACGCAUUGCCCGGUAGCUAAGUUCGGAAUCGAUAACCGCUGAAAGCAUCUAAGCGGGAAGCGAGCCCUGAGAUGAGUCUUCCCUGAUACUUUAAGUAUCCUAAAGGGUUGUCGGAGACUACGACGUUGAUAGGUCAGGUGUGUAAGUGCUGUGAGGCAUUGAGCUAACUGAUACUAAUUGCCCGUGAGGCUUAACCAU
rnacentral:rRNA from 1 species